CUAAGCACUAAAAUCUUUGGAUUAAAACUUAAAGAACAUGGCGGCCAUUAAAAACUUCAGGGGAACUUACCAGAUAAUAGAUAAUCCGCAAGACACACAACUUAACUUUAUAGUUUGCAUACCGCCGUUUUCAGGUCCCGUUUAUGACGGCGCCAAAAUGCUAAAACAACAAGACAGGUCAUGGCGCAGCCUAUGGUUAAGACUUAAGGUGAGUUACAAUAAGAAAUUUUUUCGGAUUUUAAACUAAGUUACAAUGAAGCUGGACUUGAAAGUAAUUCUUAUAAACACUAAGUAUAGUUUGAAUACCAUUUUUGAUGGUGC
rnacentral:rRNA from 1 species